UUAUCUGCAAAGCAAGGCGGUUGAAAUUUUCUUUGAACUAUGAGUUGAGCCUUUAGGGUUUUGCUUCCAAAUUAGGCCUGAUGGUACCUUUGCUGCAUACUUUUUUGUUGUAUUUAAUAUCUACAUGAGCCUUAUUCUUGAUAGUAUUAUUAGUUCACCCUUAAACUUGUCAAGCAUUUACAUUAUAUCUCUUUGUAUAUAUUUUACCUGUUUAAAUAUAUUUUUUGUCACUUGGCUUUACUGAAUGCACAUUAGUUGCUUGGUUCAUGAAUUGAAUGUGAUAUGCUUUAUGUAAUCUUGUGCAUUUUUGUUGUUUGGGGACUUCGCUUUUUUUCCCAUUCAUGCCAAGUGCCAAAAAAAGGUUCCAAGUUAGCAAAAUGGUUUUAGGGCAAUUUGGAUCAGUUAGUGUUAAUUGUGGGGGUGUCAUGUAAGUUGGUGGCAUAAUAUUAUAAUCCCACAUCAAUGCCUUUGAAGGGUCCGUUGGUGGGAUUGACCAAGGGUGAUAUGGACUUGUCAAGUUUAGUGUGAUCGUGACAAGGGUGCCUAGAAAGGGUCCAAGUAAGUCAACUGUGACUUAUCAAGGGUGAUUUGGACUUACCAAGGUUAGUGCUUACUCUUUGAUAAGAGUGUUUGGUGGAUUUGUAGGGGGGAUAGUGUUGAAAUCCCACAUUUGAUGUAAAUGGGUUGAGUUUCGGGUGUAUCUAGGGGUAAACAUCACAUAAUUAGUUAGUUUUUUGUGUAGUUGGCAAGUAUUUGACCUAUGAGAUUAUACACAUUAUAUCCAAUUCAUUCACUCUUUUUCUAUAUAUUAUAAUUGAAAAUGCUUAUCAAAAGUAGGUUAUUCUCAUGAAUAUUAAGUAACUAAAAUGAUUCUUUUCUUUUUAACUUAGACUUCUUUCCUUUUGAAAAGAUGUUAGCUCUUUUUGAUAUUGAUCCUUUCCAUCAUGGUAAUUCAUGUGAUUUGUGUGUUGGUGAUUUGUCACAUCUCACAAGGUUUAUCUCCUAUGAAACAAAAGGUUUUUUGAGUGGGUAGACAAGUUCUUGGUGUGCAGUGGUGGUGUUUUAGAGGGUUUAGGAAUAUGGCAAAUAGUGCAAGGAUGUACUGGAAGGCUCUGUAACGCUUGGAAAAGAAAGAAGCAGCAUACAAAUUUUGCUUUAUUGAUGAAGGUUGGGUAUAGAAAUAUGGCUGCGACUGCAAGGUCAGUAUGUUCUGAGAUGGUUGCUUGUGGAACUAGUGGUUUUGUUUUAUCUUUUGUUCCUACUGUAUUAUAUGGUGAUAAGUUGGUUAAAUAAUUUCAUGGAAGUUGUGCCUUAUGUUGGAGUGAAGGGUAAGAGUUUAAAUAUUAUUACUGAACCCCUAUGAAGCAACUACCAGUUCUAUAGUUCUUGCAAGCUUAAGAUUUCUCUUUAUAUUAGAAUAAAAUUGUUGACAUCUAUCACUAUCUGGGCUUAGAGUUUCUUUCCAAGUGAAUGCUUCACCAAAGGAUUUAUCAGCUAUUGCUUAUUCACAUUAUUAUAAUGAUUCUUCAUUUUCUCAUUUCUCAAAUUGAAUUAAAAACUUGGUAUUCAGUGUUUCAAGUCACUACUGUGAAGUGUUCCCCUGAUUGUGGGCUAUGCUGGUAGAAAGAAAGCAGGGUACUUAUUAGUUGCCAAUGAAGUGAGGGGAUCUUUUAUCUGUGAAUAUGUAAGUUGGAGGAUAAUUAUUAAUGUCCUUAGUAAUCACAUACUGACAUACAAGAGGUAACUUAUUGUCCAAUAGAUGCAUAUUGAUAGAUCUAGGUCCAAGGGCUGAUGGUGACUUCUACACGAUUGUGGGAAGUGGUUGCAACGGACCAAAUUGAGAUAACCUUCAGAAUGUAGUCAAAAUUAAUCAUGAGUAUGCCUUCUACUCUCUUGGUAGGAGGUUUUGAUAAUGACUUGCAUUGUCACGUACUCCAGAUGGCAUUUCAAUUAUUGAGAGUCACUUUGCAAGGACAUAUUUAGAAAGCUGUGAUCAUAAGUCCUUCGAUGUUUACCGGUAUCCUACUCUCAGCUAUAAAGGCUAAAUUUUUCUUAAGGAUGCAAUCUGGAAGUAUUUUGAACUGCAGACUUCCCAAGCAAGUGAUGGUGGGUGGCCUUAUAACUGCUACAUUGUUUACUUCAGAACUUAGUAGCUAGGCAGUUUAUUCUUGGCUAGGGGUGAAAUGUCUACUUUCAGCACAAGGGUAUUAUAAAUUUUAGUAGUUGUUCCUUAUGUUCAAGGGAUGAGAUUUUCUUUAAAUAUAUUGCGAGGGAUUGUAUCUUGUUAGUGAAUUUGAUUUCUGCAGGUAUCUUCAAACUGAGGUACUCUGAGGGGUUACAGGAUACGGUUCUUUUAGACUCUUAUACCUUGUUGACAGAUUAUGCAGAGUUGUCUAUGUUUUGUCAUUGGUUGGACUUAGAAUUACAGUAGGAAAAUUAUGGAUUGUGGAAAGUUCUAUUUCUACUCAUUGGGCUGCUUUCGAAUAUCAGAUGUAUAUAUGUAUUCAUUCAAUCUGCGGUUGUUGUACAUAUCCCGAAAAUUCUGAAGGGCAGACAGUGUCAUUAUUAUUGGAUGUCAGCUCUAUGACUAUCAUCUAUGUAUGACCUAGUAUCUUCUUCCUUUGGCCUCAGACUUACACUGAAUCCAAGGAAAAAGUUUCAAUUUUGAUAUUGUCUCAAGUAGGCCUCUUUUCCUCGUAGGCCUCAGCAUUUUGUGUCAAAAAGCUCUCUCCAAUUCUCACUAAUAAUCUAUAUUCUGCUGCUGUAGUGGCAUACCCUGCAUUUCCUGAAGAGCAUUUCAGCUGUAUUCAAUUUCUUUUUGUAUAGAAAGUCAGUUACUGCUGCUUUUCUUCCAUGAGCUUGGGGUUAUCCUUACAGCACUUGACUUCAACAAUUAUCAAUCAAGACCUUACUAACUGGAUUAUAAACCUAGAAGAGAUGCUUAUGAGUUAUGAUUACGUCAUAUCACAACUUGACAUCAGUUGCUUACCUUCCCUUUGUGAUGUUACCUAGAUAAAAAUUCUAGUAAUGGCCAUGGAAGUUUUCAGUACUACUAUAGGUAGAUGGAUUCACACAUAUCAUUUUAUAGAGUCUUAAUAUCUUGAUAUGCUACAUUUGCACUCAGUAAAUGGUGGGCAAAUUUCUGUACUGUUCCUACUUGAUAUCUUAUCAUCCAGCAUGCACAAGGAGUCCUCAUGAAUGUGCUACCAAAUUUUACAGCAGCAUGUUGCAGUCUCUGAUUUAAAAUUUUGCUGACAAUUUAGCAGUUCUGCAGAUGGGAAAACUAGUUCCUCAUUGAGCAGCGGUUUGUUUUAAUUGCUAUGUUGUGAUGAAAGGUCAAAGCUCAACAAAAGGGGUCGAUGCUCGGGUUUAGAUUGUUAUUUAGCUUGAGAUCAACUCCUCAUCAGUGUUAUUGCACCUAACCUUGUUCUAUUGCCAAUUCAUCUGUUUCUCAUAUGAUGAUUCUUUUCUUUUUCUGUUGAUUCUUAUCAUUUUCUAACAUCAUUGAACGAUCAGAUCAAGCAAAUGGAGUUUAAUCUUGAACUGAUCACUUUGAAUUUAAAUCAAAUUUGAGUUAGUUUUUAUUUAA